CAGCAGCCGCGGGAAAACGUAGGUGGCAAGCGUUAAUCGGAAUUACUGGGCGUAAAGCGUGCGCAGGCGGUUUGUUAAGACAGAUGUGAAAUCCCCGGGCUCAACCUGGGAACUGCAUUUGUGACUGGCAAGCUAGAGUGUGGCAGAGGGGGGUGGAAUUCCGCGUGUAGCAGUGAAAUGCGUAGAUAUGCGGAGGAACACCGAUGGCGAAGGCAGCCCCCUGGGCCAACACUGACGCUCAUGCACGAAAGCGUGGGGAGCAAACAGGAUUAGAUACCCCCGUAGUCCCUGUCUCUUAUAC
rnacentral:rRNA from 1 species